AGGAUUUGGUUAGGAUUUGAUUUAGGAUUUAGGAUUUUAUUAGAAUUUUUUUAGAGUUUAAGAUUUAAUUAGUGUUUGGCCUAAAGUUUGAAUGAAGUCCAAUAGGAUUUUAACUAGGAUUAAACUAAGAUUUAAUUGAGAUUUAUUUGAGAUAUAUUUGUGAUAAUUCUAAUAUUUCUUUAAGUUUACUUAUUAUUUCUUUGUAAUUCCUUUGAGAUUUCUUUGAAUUUGAUUA
rnacentral:lncRNA from 1 species